rnacentral:rRNA from 1 species
UACAGGGGGGCAAGCGUUGUUCGGAAUUACUGGGCGUAAAGGGUCUGUAGGUGGCCAACUAAGUCAGACGUGAAAUCCCUCAGCUUAACUGGGGAACUGCGUCUGAUACUGGAUGGCUUGAGUGUGGGAGAGGAAUGCGGAAUUCCAGGUGUAGCGGUGAAAUGCGUAGAUAUCUGGAGGAACACCGGUGGCGAAGGCGGCAUUCUGGACCCAUAACGUGACACUGAGAGACGAA